rnacentral:lncRNA from 1 species
GUGUUAUUGACAUUUUUAUCGAAUUGAUAUGGCAACACUGAGGUUAUUUGGAAACAGCAGGCAGCAGUGGGAUUUGUUGUGUUUCUGAUGCGUAGCUACGAAUUUUUAAAAUGCUGAGAAGUAUACUAAUGGGCAACGUUUCUACUUUAGAUUUCGACGAGGAUAAAAAAUAUGGAAUGCGAAAAGAAACAGAAUGGGAAGAUAUGAAGAUUAAACAAGAAUUAGAUUUCGAAGUUGACUGCAACAAUAUUAAUGGAGAAUUCAAUAUUUCUAAAGAUGAACAAGAUUUACAGGUGAGAAUAUUGUUUCUUUAAUAAUUUUAAAAUGUUUUUGAAUUUUCACUGUAAUUUACCUUAUUUUCUUUAGCUUGUAAAUUACUUGUUUCACUCAUUAACGUUUGAAAAAUCUUACUAUAAUAAAUUAUCAUAUGAUUUUUUUCCCAGAAGUUAAUGAUUCAGUUAUUUUUUUGAGGGUCAAAAAAAGACGAAUAUUAUCUGUUUUCAUCAAGAAAAACGUUAAUGUAAACAAACUUCACCAUGGCUGGUUUCCAUUUGCAAAUGGUGAUCAUUGAUUGGUGGAAGAAGAGUACAUGUAUAAAGCAUUCUAUAAACAUAUGCAUAACAGUUUGAGUGGAAUGAACCACUAAUGAUCGAGCAUAAUUGCUUGGAUAAGUAAAAAAACGAAAACGUCAACACUUUUUCUUAUCAUAUCAUGAAAUAAGUCUGAAAACAUUUGGAAGAAAAAUUUUGAUUUUACUGUCUAUUCUUUAUAUAAAAUAUAUUUCUUUUAGCUUGAUAUAUAUAUUGCUAGAAUGCUUCUUGUCAAAGGGCC